rnacentral:lncRNA from 7 species
GUGCUGCACGUGUCCGUCUCAUUGUAUGAACUCAUAAGUGAAAACGAAUCCAACUGAAAAUGAAGUGUACAGCCUUUUGAUCUGAAUGAGGAGAUAGUUUGUACAAGUCACCUUGCUUGGGCAACUUAGUAAGCUGAGCCACUGCUGUGUCAAAUAUUGUGCUAAAAGCAGACUGAGCUGGCUGACAGGCAGCCUCGGAGAUGCUGCAGAUGAAAAAUCAGUGAAGCCAAAAAAGGAAUCAGUUGCUGCAUUGUCACCUAUAGUGCUUCAAGAUCCCAAAGCCCACCUGGAGUUUCUGUGUAUCAAGUCUCCUGCUAUGUGGAGGCUGCUGCAGCCUCUGGCUGCUGCUCUGCUUGGUCUCCAGGCUGUCUAUGCCUAUUUCAUUCUGCUUCAGUGUUUUCCCCUGCUGGAUUUUAAUGUGAGAAUAAUGGCAUGACAAGCAAGGAACAACUGGAGAAGUGCCUCUCUCAGCCAGAGCCUGAUCAUUUGCGUUGGCAGGGCUGUCAGCCUUCAAAUUCCUGAUUGUAUUUUUUCAUUGGUCAACACAUGGACAAAAUUACCUCACCUCUACCUGUUUUUUUUUCUGCUGGAACAUGAGAUACUGUUCUCAGCCCAACCCGUAUUUGAUUUCUGCUUUACUGUGGGAAAGAUCACAAGAAACUUGAGAAAACAGAAUCAUCCCAACAGUCUUAGGCAUAGUGGCCUGGUGCCUGUAUUUGUCACACAGGGUUAUAUGCGAGUGCUGCGAUACUGGUUUGGUGACAUACUCUCCACCAUGCAGCUGCACUCUGGAGCCCUCCCUGCAAGGAGGAAGGUCUUGUCCAUAAGAUAAGGGAGCAGCUGAUGAAAAAGGAGGACAGUUGUAAUAGAGGGAAUAUCCAUGAAGUUGCAUGCAUUUUUAAGGGAUUUCCUGAAUGAGACAACUAGGCUCAGGUUUCAGCACAGAUAUGUCCAGUGGUUAAAAGAUUUUUAUUUUCAACCUUUAGCACUGAUAGUAAAAAGAAUAGCAAGUGUUUUCCUAGAGCGGCUAGGUAAGCUUUGCUCCAGUUUUCAAGAAACAGAUAUCACACUGGGAUGACCUCUGCAAGAUCCCAAGCAUGAGAUUUUGGAAGUGCUGAACACAGAGACAUCAGUGUGGACAUGAAAGCAGGCACUUGGAGGGACCUACUUAGCUUCAAGUUGCCAUCUUGAGCC